rnacentral:lncRNA from 1 species
UCAAUCUGGACCCAAACUCCUAACCCUAGAAAUCGAGGAGAAAUCUGGCCUCGGCAAAUCCACCGACUGAAAAUCUCUUCUGCCAUUAAACUCGCAAAUCCACUGGCGAAUCUCCGCAAAUCUCGGCAGAUCGAUUUCUCUGUCAACCCUAGAUCUGAUAACGGCGAUAGUGAGUCGGAGAUUGAAGAUCUAGACUCGGUGACCCGGAUAGUGAGCCGGAGAUUGAAGAUCUAGACUCGGUGAUUAAAAGCUUCGAAGAAGAGAUGAUGAACUCGGCCGACGUUCUCUCCCUCCGGUGAAGAUUUUUUUUUUG